rnacentral:rRNA from 1 species
CACACCUGUUCCCAUGCCGAACACAGAAGUUAAGCUCCUUAGCGUCGAUGGUAGUCGAACUUACGUUCCGCUAGAGUAGAACGUUGCCAGGC